rnacentral:rRNA from 1 species
GGAAUCUUGGACAAUGGGGGCAACCCUGAUCCAGCGAUGCCGCGUGGGUGAAGAAGGUCUUCGGAUUGUAAAGCACUUUAAGUUGGGAGGCAGGGUAGUAACUUAAUACGUUGCUAUUUUGACGUUACCGACAGAAUAAGCACCGGCUAACUUCGUGCCAGCAGCCGCGGUAAUACGAAGGGUGCAAGCGUUAAUCGGAAUUCCUGGGCGUAAAGCGCGCGUAGGUGGUUCAGUAAGUUGGAUGUGAAAUCCCCGGGCUCAACCUGGGAACUGCAUCCAAAACUGCUGAACUAGAGUACGGUAGAGGGUGGUGGAAUUUCCUGUGUAGCGGUGAAAUGCGUAGAUAUAGGAAGGAACACCAGUGGCGAAGGCGACCACCUGGACUGAUACUGACACUGAGGUGCGAAAGCGUGGGGAGCAAAC